rnacentral:rRNA from 1 species
GAUGAACGCUGGCGGCGUGCCUAAUACAUGCAAGUCGAGCGAACAGACGAGGAGCUUGCUCCUCUGACGUUAGCGGCGGACGGGUGAGUAACACGUGGAUAACCUACCUAUAAGACUGGGAUAACUUCGGGAAACCGGAGCUAAUACCGGAUAAUAUAUUGAACCGCAUGGUUCAAUAGUGAAAGACGGUUUUGCUGUCACUUAUAGAUGGAUCCGCGCCGCAUUAGCUAGUUGGUAAGGUAACGGCUUACCAAGGCAACGAUGCGUAGCCGACCUGAGAGGGUGAGCGACCCCACGGAAAAAGAAACACGGCACAAACCCCAAGGAAAGAGAGACGUAGGGAAUCUGCCGCAAUGGGAGAAGCCCUGACGGGGCAGCCCCGCGAGGGGAGAGAGGGUCUACGGAUCAAAAAACUCUUUGAUUGGGAAAGAAGAAUUGUAUAAAUAAAAAGCCGCAUAGUAACGGUACUAAGUCAGAAAACAGCGGCGAACUCCAG